rfam:Salmo salar isolate Sally breed double haploid chromosome ssa24, whole genome shotgun sequence.
UACAUUCACUACUGUAAGUCGCUCUAGAUAAGAGCGUCUGCUAAAUGACUAAAA